CCCCCCCCUCCCUUGUUCAUUUGUUAACAGUUGUGGACUGCCGAGAAAGAAUGUUUUCAAAUGUGGAAAAUGAGGAACGGGAUUGGAAUAUGAAUUUAGGCCAAAAGGCCAAUCGCUGGAACCUGAGGUCAUUCAGCGCACAGGAAAAGGUCGUAUUCGUAUUACGGUAGGGUUUCCAGGCUUUCUCUGAAUUUAGUUUGUAUAUGAAACUUUUUUUUGUGUUCUGUCUUUUAAACGAUCGGAGGUUGUUCUGUAUUAUCCGUUCAUUAUGUUUUUUUUUUUUACUAAUAUCCGUUCAGUCAUGUUUUUUUUAUUAUUAUGAUGAUGAUGAUGGCACUAUAUUAACGUUGUUUCAUUAUUUCCUUUGCAGGAGAACGGCCGUUCGAGUGCACGUGGAUAUCUUGCCGGAAGAGGUUCGCCCGUAGCGACGAGCUGGCCCGACAUACCAGAACCCACACGGGGGAGAAGAAUUUUGUGUGUCCAGUCUGUCAGAAGAGAUUUAUGCGAUCAGACCAUCUCAGCAAACACGCCAGACGACACCCGGACUUCGACCCAGCCCUCCUGAGGCAGCGUCGCCAUAACACUCCGGCCCGAACCACCUGGCGUAACUCCUCCUCUCCGCUCGGCACCUCGGAUAGCGAUGGUCCCACAUCGCCUUGAAGAUUGAAGAAUUUAGGAGGGCGACUUCGCGCGGUGUUGCUGUCAUCUCUGUGCUAGAAGCGUAGUACAAAGUGGCGAUGUGUUCCAGCUACUAUACUUCCUUCCCCUCCCUCCCCCUCCACAGUUCUCACUCUGUAGUGGGAUGCGAAAGUGUGGAGGGAGGUUCUACAAUGUAGUGGAUCUUUGGACCAAAAUUGGCUUCUUUUUCGUCUUUGGUGAAUCGGUGGCGGGCGGGCGGCGUCGUGACAUGCCCACUGAUUCCACUUACACUACUGACGAAGUCUUGUUGUAAAUAUAUACAUACAUACAUAUAUAUAUUAUAUUUUUUGUCUCUAAAAUAUUUAAACUAAAAACCGACUCAGGUUUGUGAGGCAUACCACUCAGUUUUAUGUAAAGGUUGCUCAGCGUUACAGUGCAACACCAUUCAACAGUGAUCUCUUAUGGGUAUCAUCUGUGCUCAUGUUUCAUCUGCUCAAAACAGAUAUGACGUAUUUGUACAUAACUUAUAUUAUAUAUAUAUAUUUUAGAUGAAGCGAGUUGUUGAUGUUUUUUAUAUACUCUUGUACAUUUUAAUAAUGUAUCUUUUUUCCCCCUAGGUGUGGAUUACAGCUAUAUACUGUAUUAACAUAUCUCGUUUGAGCAGGUUCAAAACCAUACAUGUUAUGACCUCUUCGUAAUUAUUAUUAUAAUAAUAGGGACUUUUGACCUGAAAGUGAUCCGUGUGCAGGUUUACAGUUACACAGGUUCUCAUCAUCCAUGCAUGGACUACCAAAAAUGGCCUACGGUAUAACCAAUCAACCCAUGCGCACAAAACACACCAACCAACAAACAUAUUUCCUUUCAUUCACAUCUUCGUAGUUUAAGGCGACUUUCAAACCAGAAGGAAAACUCGAACAAUGUAAUGUGCUCACAAUGUGUGGAAUACAGGGUUAUAGAUAAUCAUACGGCAUCUUACUGCACUGUGUAAUCACUUAUUUUUUAAAAUACUGGACCUGAAUGAAUGUAUGAAUGAGUCAGCCAAAUGGUUAUUGGCAAUGAUGAUGAACUAUGCAGCACCAGCGUGCCGUUGCGUGCUGUUGAUCAGAUUGUUUAGUAAUGUUGACAAUACCAACAAUAAUUGCAAGUUACCUGGUGGCAAGGGUCUAGAAUUCUAGCAGGCUCUUGUUUGCUCUUCUUUCAAGUACUUUGGAGACUAAUGUUAUCAGGGUAGAUUCUUCUUUUUACGUUUUAACUACUAGACAGGUAGAAGUAGAGUACAGGGAUGGUUGUAGUACUAGCCCUGGUGCUAUUAAGUGCCUUAGGUGGUUGGAGCACUUUGUUCCCCCUACACAUCCAUUACCAGUUGUCCUUUUUCACAGACUAUUUUGCCAAGUCUUCGCCUCAUUCCAGUACAUAACUCUCCAGUCAAGUACUGUGUAUCUCCACUUUUAUCCAUCCAUGCUAUGAUGUCCUUGACAUUUUCCAGAAUCGUAUUCAGGGGCUGCACACUUAACACUUACUUAUGGCCUUGAACCCUCUCACCUGCCUCCUACUGUCCUUGCCUCCUGAGUUUGAUGAAAGACAACAGAUUUCUCCAAGAUGUUCAGUACUCGACUUUUCAAUCUUCAAUCCAUCAGUGGAACCAUCAUCCAUUGUGCUGAAUUUGCUUUGUUGGUAGUUCUGAACAGGAAUUGCCUGCAGUAAUUGUGUAGACCUAAGUAUAUUUAAUUUUUGUUUCUUAGGAACAGAUAGAUUACACAUUAAGAGAAUACCUCAAAUUUAGAUGAUUAAGUACAAUAUUCAGGCUUGAGAUUUGGAAAUAUGAUAUACACUGCGUAUAUACAAAGGUUUAAGUGGAAGUAUUUUUAAGAGCCGAGCCUUUUUUCUAAGCACUACAAAAUUUGAGGUAAUCUUACCCAGCUGGUUUUAGCAACAAGUAAUCAUAAUAUACACACUAGGUUAACACACUGAUAUUUAAGAUUACAUUAUUCAUAAUUCUCUAGGUCAUACAGUUUCAGGAUAUAUUACAUUAUAAUAUAUUAUAUACUAUAUACAUAUAUAAUGCAUUGAGUAAUUUAGUUGUGCUAUGUGCUCCUGUAUUAAAAAUGCCCCAUCUCAGACCUAAGACAAUAUUUGAUUGUGUCUAGUCAGCGUAGAAUCUGUUGCAGAUAAUAAAGCUAAUCAUAUAUUGUUUUAUAUUGCUAUGGCUUUGGAAUAUAAGAUUUUGCUAACGAGUUUGCAUUGUAGUGCCAUAAAAACAAUACAGACAAAUGAAGGUUGACCAGAGUGAUCAAUAAAAGACCAUUAUUGUUACUGUAAUAAAUGUGCGUGUCAUGCACAAACACAGGUAAUUUGUAUACUGGAUAUUUAUUGGGGGAAGUGUUAUGUGAAUAUUGCUCAUCCUGAGGAAUUUUCAUGUUUAUAGAAUAGUAUGUAAGGGCUGCUAUGGUAACCAGACUUGCAGCAAAUUUAAAAAUGAUUUAAGGAAAAACUUGUGAUCUUCAAAGAACCUGUCAUUGUAUGCUGUACUUACAAUUAGUACUUAAUACAUUAGUUGUGUUAGCUAUCCUGGUUACUUCUUUCAACACUUUGUCAGCUUUUUCUGAAGUUUGACUUCUUCUUCAAUCCAAUUUUCCUUGGAGACUUAAUCCUCAUUUCUUCUGGCAUUCUUUUGAACUUCAUUGUACAUAAAGUCACAUUGCUGACAUAAUUGUGUAUAGAACUGUAAUUUUAUACCUUAGAAUAAUUCAAGGUAUCAAGAUGACACUAUUCUUAAUUUUAUUUGUACAAAACUAAGUUUACUAAAGGUUGUUCAUGUAAUGUGUUCAUUUUUUUUUAUUUUGGCCAUUCUAGUUCCACCAGUCACCACAACUGUUGAUUGGCAGUGUUAAUUUUUAUGCAGGUAAAAUGGUUACUAUUUUAUUUUUUAACAGAACUUGCUGCUUACAUUCAUACAUUUACCAACAUGACAAGGUAAUAACUGGAGAGGGCUAUAUGGCUUAGAUAGGUUUAUAUGCCAGAUGCAUACUCUGGAUUUUAUUCCUCUGUUAAAUGUGAAUUAAAUUUAGUCAACUUUUUCCAAAGUUAACUGAAAUCAAACCCUGAUACGAGAUAAGAGUAUGUGUUUUGUGUAUGGCCAUAUCAAAAAAUUGUCUUUCAUAUUGCACCUUCCAGAGUGAAUGUUCUCAAGGGGACUUAAGGCCCAGCCAAAAUAGGUUUGUUUCUCAUUGCUAGGUAUAAUGUCAAUGAAAUUGUGUAAAUAAAAGAUGUUAUGUA